ACGGUAAAGUAACAUGUUUUUUUGUCUUUUUUUUCAAAUACUUCAAUAAACAUACCAAGUGAGACUCCUUAUGGAAAGUGACGGUCGGAUUUCGCUGAAAUAUAUUCAUAAACCUGUAUAAUUUUAAAAUGAUAAUCGGAAUUUCUACCUGUCUGACCAACGUUUUGUUUGGGGAUUCCAUUGAUUAUGUCUACGUCAUAUGGAGUAGCGCAUGCGCAUAUUACGCCAUUUCACUGUAAACAACAAUGGCUUCCGCGGGAAGUUUCAGCGUGUCGGCAACAAAGCAAAGACAUGCCAAAUGGUCCAAGGAAAACCCUAGGAUUACGUUAGGGACACAGUACGACAGGUGGGAGGCAUUCAAGGAAGACAAUAACUGCCCUAGUAAUCCGGAUGCAGCUCGUAUCAUUCUCGAUUGCUGGUGUGAAAUGGAAUUCUAGUAGACCUGUGUAGUGUACAAGCACGGAGCUAGCCCCUGUCGGAAUGAUAAGAGGUGUUUUCUACGUUACGUCUUGUUUGUGCUACGGUUGCUGUUGUUUUAAAUAAAUGGUGGAAACAAAGUCCGUCGUAGUCUGUGAUGAUUCCCCAGAUGGGAGAUAAACACCACCCC